UAUAAGUUCUGGAUGACAAAGGAAAGAGAAGAGGGGCAAAUCACCCACUGAAGAGGAAGAAAAUAGCCACACAUUUUGAUGCCUGGAGGAUGAAACCUCCUAUGUUAUUUCCUUCCGUCUUUCUCUCUAUGUCCAUUUUGAUUAAUGGACAUCAUUAGAAAUAGACACAGGCUAUCAGAACUUGAAUGAAUCAGGCAGCUGCAGUUACCCACGAUGCUCUGCAUAGUCGGAGCAGUAUAGAGUGGUGCAGCUUUAAUGACAAAUCGAAAUGACAGAAUAUGUUUGGAAAAAAAAUCCAUGGCAACCAUGGCUGCAAAGGACGGCAAUCGAUAUCGUUUUGGUUAUGCAGCAGCUACAAGUUUGAACUGAAGAGGACAGAGAGCCAAAUAGAAAGGAGGAUGGAUAUGAUAUAAAUUAAAGAAAUAUAUAUAUGAGAUGAAUUGGCCACAGUCCACGGGAAGCUGAAUAGGAAUGACAAGAAAAGGUAUUUACUGAACUGUAA
ensembl:lncRNA